GACGAACCGUGCGAACGUUAUUCGGAAUCACUGGGCUUAAAGCGCGUGUAGGCGGCCCGGCACGUCGGACGCUGAAAUCCCCCGGCUCAACCGGGGAACGGGCGCCGAUACGACCGGGCUGGAGGGGGGUAGGGGGCGCCGGAACUUCCGGUGGAGCGGUGAAAUGCGUUGAGAUCGGAAGGAACGCCCGUGGCGAAAGCGGGCGCCUGGACCCCACCUGACGCUGAGACGCGAAAGCCAGGGGAGCGAACGGG
rnacentral:rRNA from 1 species